rnacentral:rRNA from 1 species
GACGGAGGAUGCAAGUGUUAUCCGGAAUCACUGGGCGUAAAGCGUCUGUAGGUGGUUCGAAAAGUCCACUGUUAAAAAUUGAGGCUUAACUUCAAAGAUGCCGUGGAAACUUUCAAACUAGAAUAUGGUAGGGGUAGAGGGAAUUUCCAGUGGAGCGGUGAAAUGCGUAGAUAUUGGAAAGACCACCGAUGGCGAAGGCACUCUACUGGGCCACUACUGACACUGAGAGACGAAAGCUAGGGUAGCAAAUGGG